GGGGGUGAAAGGUUUCGACUUAAGUAAUUUAGGUAAAUGUUGCAUGCCGAGGAAUGCUUGGUUGGCCUCGCUAAAAAAUCCAGGCAAAACUAAACGCAAAAGAAAAUACGCGUUUAUUAGCAAGGGCUGAGGCAAUUGUUGCCCCAGUUUUUGCACCAGCCCCUAUCUUAAGAUAAGGUAGGGCCUUUGAUUAGUCUCUCCUGGCGGCUAAUCAAUGCGGAUUACCCCGCCUUUGGCGGGGUAAACAGGAUAGUUAAGCUCUAUUAGCCUUUAGGGGUUUAGCGAAAACAAAAAGGCUGGCUGUUUAUGUAUCCUGUCUGUCGGAGAAAUAAACAGUAAGAUUUAAAAGACAGAAUAAGCAUGUAGAAGCUUUAUCUAACUAUUUAAGGACGCGGGUUCGAAUCCCGCCACCUCCACCA
rnacentral:tmRNA from 1 species